rnacentral:tRNA from 1 species
GAAGGCCUGUAUAACUUUAAUAUACAUCUCCUGAAUGCAACUCAAACACUUUAACUAAGCUAAKACCUUCUAUAUCGAUGG